UACGAAGGGGGCUAGCGUUGCUCGGAAUCACUGGGCGUAAAGCGCGCGUAGGCGGCUUUGUAAGUUAGAGGUGAAAGCCCGGAGCUCAACUCCGGAACUGCCUUUAAAACUGCAUCGCUUGAAUCCAGGAGAGGUGAGUGGAAUUCCGAGUGUAGAGGUGAAAUUCGUAGAUAUUCGGAAGAACACCAGUGGCGAAGGCGGCUCACUGGACUGGGUAUUGA
rnacentral:rRNA from 1 species